rnacentral:rRNA from 1 species
GACGAACGCUGGCGGCGUGCCUAAUACAUGCAAGUAGAACGCUGAAGAGAGGAGCUUACUCUUCUUGGAUGAGUUGCGAACGGGUGAGUAACGCGUAGGUAACCUGCCUUGUAGCGGGGGAUAACUAUUGGAAACGAUAGCUAAUACCGCAUAUCAAUGGAUGACACAUGUCAUUUAUUUGAAAGGGGCAAUUGCUCCACUACAAGAUGGACCUGCGUUGUAUUAGCUAGUAGGUGAGGUAAUGGCUCACCUAGGCGACGAUACAUAGCCGACCUGAGAGGGUGAUCGGCCACACUGGGACUGAGACACGGCCCAGACUCCUACGGGAGGCAGCAGUAGGGAAUCUUCGGCAAUGGGGGCAACCCUGACCGAGCAACGCCGCGUGAGUGAAGAAGGUUUUCGGAUCGUAAAGCUCUGUUGUAAGUCAAGAACGGGUGUGAGAGUGGAAAGUUCACACUGUGACGGUAGCUUACCAGAAAGGGACGGCUAACUACGUG